rnacentral:rRNA from 1 species
GCAUAUCAAUAAGCGGAGGAAAAGAAACCAACAGGGAUUGCCCCAGUAACGGCGAGUGAAGCGGCAACAGCUCAAAUUUGAAAUCUGGCUCUCGGGCCCGAGUUGUAAUUUGUAGAGGAUGCUUUUGGUGAGGUGCCUUCCGAGUUCCCUGGAACGGGACGCCAUAGAGGGUGAGAGCCCCGUCUGGUUGGACACCGACCCUCUGUAAAGCUCCUUCGACGAGUCGAGUAGUUUGGGAAUGCUGCUCUAAAUGGGAGGUAUAUGUCUUCUAAAGCUAAAUACCGGCCAGAGACCGAUAGCGCACAAGUAGAGUGAUCGAAAGAUGAAAAGAACUUUGAAAAGAGAGUUAAAAAGUACGUGAAAUUGUUGAAAGGGAAGCGCUUGUGACCAGACUUGGGCUUGGUUGAUCAUCCGGGGUUCUCCCCGGUGCACUCUUCCGGCCCAGGCCAGCAUCAGUUCGCCCUGGGGGACAAAGGCUUCGGGAAUGUGGCUCUCUCCGGGGAGUGUUAUAGCCCGCUGCGUAAUACCCUGUGGCGGACUGAGGUUCGCGCAUUCGCAAGGAUGCUGGCGUAAUGGUCAUCAGUGACCCGUCUUGAAACACGGACCAAGGAGUCGUCUUCGUAUGCGAGUGUUCGGGUGUCAAACCCCUACGCGAAAUGAAAGUGAACGCAGGUGAGAGCUUCGGCGCAUCAUCGACCGAUCCUGAUGUUAUCGGAUGGAUUUGAGUAAGAGCAUACGGGGCCGGACCCGAAAGAAGGUGAACUAUGCCUGUGUAGGGUGAAGCCAGAGGAAACUCUGGUGGAGGCUCGCAGCGGUUCUGACGUGCAAAUCGAUCGUCAAACAUGGGCAUGGGGGGCGAAAGACUAAUCGAACCUUCUAGUAGCUGGUUUCCGCG